UACGAGUGCCUCGAGCGUUAUCCGGAAUCAUUGGGCGUAAAGGGUGCGUAGGUGGUCCUGUUAGUCUUCCGUUAAAUUUUGCGGCUUAACCGUAAAAGUGCGGGGGAAACGGCAGGACUUGAGGGUGUAAGAGGUCUCUGGAACUCUAGGUGUAGCGGUGAAAUGCGUUGAUAUCUAGGGGAACACCAAAUGCGAAGGCAAGAGACUGGGACAUUCCUGACACUGAGGCACGAAAGCGUGGGUAGCGAAUGGG
rnacentral:rRNA from 1 species